UACGUAGGGGGCAAGCGUUGUCCGGAUUUAUUGGGCGUAAAGCGCGUGUAGGCGGCCAGGUAGGUCUGCUGUGAAAACUCGAGGCUCAACCUCGAGAUGUCGGCGGAAACCCUCUGGCUAGAGUCCGGAAGAGGAGAGUGGAAUUCCCGGUGUAGCGGUGAAAUGCGCAGAUAUCGGGAAGAACACCCGUGGCGAAGGCGGCUCUCUGGGACGGUACUGACGCUGAGAAGCGAAAGCAUGGGGAGCGAACAGG
rnacentral:rRNA from 1 species